rnacentral:rRNA from 1 species
GACCUCGGAUCAGGUAGAAUGCUC